CAGUCGCCGCGGGAAUACGUAGGGUGCAAGCGUUAAUCGGAAUUACUGGGCGUAAAGCGUGCGCAGGCGGUUAUAUAAGACAGAUGUGAAAUCCCCGGGCUCAACCUGGGAACUGCAUUUGUGACUGUAUAGCUAGAGUACGGCAGAGGGGGAUGGAAUUCCGCGUGUAGCAGUGAAAUGCGUAGAUAUGCGGAGGAACACCGAUGGCGAAGGCAAUCCCCUGGGCCUGUACUGACGCUCAUGCACGAAAGCGUGGGGAGCAAACAGGAUUAGAGACCCGAGUAGUCCCUGUCUCUUAUAA
rnacentral:rRNA from 1 species